UACGUAGGGGGGCAAGCGUUUGUCCGGAAUUAUUGGGCGUAAAGAGCGUGUAGGCGGCUCGAUAAGUCUGCUGUGAAAGUCCAGGGCUCAACCCUGGAAGGCCGGUGGAAACUGUCGGGCUAGAGUCCGGAAGAGGCGAGUGGAAUUCCCGGUGUAGCGGUGAAAUGCGCAGAUAUCGGGAGGAACACCAAUGGCGAAGGCAGCUCGCUGGGACGGUACUGACGCUGAGGAGCGAAAGCGUGGGGAGCGAACAGG
rnacentral:rRNA from 1 species